AGGACAACGCUGGCGGCGUGCCUAACACAUGCAAGUCAAGGGUGUAGCAAUACACACUGGCGAACGGGUGAGUAACGCGUAGGUAACCUGCCCUUAUCCCCGACACAACUCAGAGAAAUUUGAGCUAAUAUCGGAUGAGGCAUUUCGAUGUCAAAGGAGCAAUCGUGGAUAAGGAGGGGCCUGCGUCUGAUUAGCUAGUUGGUAAGGGUAAAAGCCUACCAAGGCGACGAUCAGUAGCUGGUCUGAGAGGAUGAUCAGCCACACUGGAACUGAGACACGGUCCAGACUCCUACGGGAGGCAGCAGUGAGGAAUAUUGGUCAAUGGACGAAAGUCUGAACCAGCGACGCCGCGUGUGGGAUGAAGGGGCUUUGCCCUGUAAACCACUGUCGGAAGGGAAAAAAAGAAGUAUGAACUUCUGGGAUUGUACCUUCAAAGGAAGGAUCGGCUAACUACGUG
rnacentral:rRNA from 1 species